CCUACGGGUGGCUGCAGUGGGGAAUAUUGGGCAAUGGAGGAAACUCUGACCCAGCAAUGCCGCGUGAAUGAAGAAGGUCUUCGGAUUGUAAAGUUCUUUAGUCAGGGAAGAAGUCAAUGAUGGUACCUGAAGAAUAAGCUCCGGCUAACUACGUGCCAGCAGCCGGGGUAAUACGUAGGGAGCAAGCGUUGUUCGGAAUGACUGGGCGUAAAGGGUGCGGAGGCGGUUGUACAAGUUAGAAGUGGAAUACCCAGGGCUUAACUCGGGUGCUGCUUCUAAAAUUGUAUGACUUGAGUGAAGUAGAGGUUAGUGGAAUUCCUAGUGUAGCGGUGGAAUGCGUAGAUAUUAGGAGGAACACCAGAGGCGAAGGCGACUAACUGGACUGCAACUGACGCUGAGGCACGAAAGUGUGGGGAGCAAACAGGAUUAGAUACCCCGGUAGUC
rnacentral:rRNA from 1 species